GCUCCUGUGGUGGAACCGGGCAGACGCGCCGCCCUCAAGCAGCGGUGCCGACAGGCGUGCGGGUUCGGGUCCCGCCAGGAGCA
rnacentral:tRNA from 1 species